rnacentral:rRNA from 1 species
GUGGGGAAUUUUGGACAAUGGGCGCAAGCCUGAUCCAGCAAUGCCGCGUGCAGGAAGAAGGCCUUCGGGUUGUAAACUGCUUUUGUACGGAACGAAACGGUCCGGGUUAAUACCCUGGGCUAAUGACGGUACCGUAAGAAUAAGCACCGGCUAACUACGUGCCAGCAGCCGCGGUAAUACGUAGGGUGCAAGCGUUAAUCGGAAUUACUGGGCGUAAAGCGUGCACAGGCGGUGUUGUAAGACAGGCGUGAAAUCCCCGGGCUCAACCUGGGAAUUGCGCUUGUGACUGCAAGGCUGGAGUGCGGCAGAGGGGGAUGGAAUUCCGCGUGUAGCAGUGAAAUGCGUAGAUAUGCGGAGGAACACCGAUGGCGAAGGCAAUCCCCUGGGCCUGCACUGACGCUCAUGCACGAAAGCGUGGGGAGCAAACAGGAUUAGAAACCCCAGUAGUCC